UGGGGAAUAUUGGACAAUGGGCGCAAGCCUGAUCCAGCCAUGCCGCGUGAGUGAUGAAGGCCCUAGGGUUGUAAAGCUCUUUCACCGGUGAAGAUAAUGAAGGUAACCGGAGAAGAAGCCCCGGCUAACUUCGUGCCAGCAGCCGCGGUAAUACGAAGGGUGCUAGCGUUGUUCGGAUUUACUGGGCGUAAAGCGCACGUAGGCGGACUUUUAAGUCAGGGGUGAAAUCCCGGGGCUCAACCCCGGAACUGCCUUUGAUACUGGAAGUCUUGAGUAUGGUAGAGGUGAGUGGAAUUCCGAGUGUAGAGGUGAAAUUCGUAGAUAUUCGGAGGAACACCAGUGGCGAAGGCGGCUCGCUGGACCAUUACUGACGCUGAGGUGCGAAAGCGUGGGGAGCAAACAGG
rnacentral:rRNA from 1 species